UACUGUGACGAAAGCCUGUGGUGCCC
rnacentral:piRNA from 1 species